CUAUAUCACGUUGAAACACCAGUUCCCGUAAGAUCACCGUAGUUAAGCAACGGUGAGUAUGGUCAGUACCUACUGGGCUGAUCGCUUGGGAAUAUCAGCUGCUGCAA